GACGAACGCUGGCGGCGUGCUUAACACAUGCAAGUCGAACGGAAAGGCCCUGCUUUUGUGGGGUGCUCGAGUGGCGAACGGGUGAGUAACACGUGAGUAACCUGCUCUUGACUUUGGGAUAACUUCAGGAAACUGGGGCUAAUACCGGAUAGGAUCUCCUGCUGCAUUGUGGGGGUUGGAAAGUUUCGGCGGUUGGGGAUGGACUCGCGGCUUAUCAGCUUGUUGGUGGGGUAGUGGCUUACCAAGGCUUUGACGGGUAGCCGGCCUGAGAGGGUGACCGGCCACAUUGGGACUGAGAUACGGCCCAGACUCCUACGGGAGGCAGCAGUGGGGAAUAUUGCACAAUGGGCGGAAGCCUGAUGCAGCAACGCCGCGUGCGGGAUGACGGCCUUCGGGUUGUAAACCGCUUUCGCCUGUGACGAAGCGUGAGUGACGGUAAUGGGUAAAGAAGCACCGGCUAACUACGUG
rnacentral:rRNA from 1 species